rnacentral:miRNA from 1 species
AGGCUGACUAAUUGUCCUGGUUUGCCCGGGACUGAGGAUGUUCCUGGGACCAGGGACUUUCAGUCCUAAAUCCAGGAAAGUC